CCCCGAUUUCAGAAAUAUGGUGGU
rnacentral:siRNA from 1 species